AUUCCAACAGUUAAAUAUCCCAGUGACUCGGCUUAAUCCAGGAUACUGAUCAUUCUUUAUGAAGACUGACAAUGUUGUCCAGAGAUGCAUACGGUGUGGCCCAUGUUGGGCUGCUGGCCUGACAGCGGGUUGGAUGUACUGACGUGAAUUCCUGAAGGCCCAUUACAGAUGAAACCACAGCGAGAGCAAUACGGGGACUCCAAAUUCUCACUCUGACGUUUCAGUCCAUCACCUGACCAAUGAACACGGCUGGCGUGCCUACUGCACAGAAGGCACUAGAUUUUGUGCUGUAGAAAAUGUGGAGCCAAGAUACAAGCAGUUUACAUUGUUGAAAAGAAAAGGAAGCACAUGGCAUGCAAGGCAAGAGAAGUGAAAAAUGAACAGU